AAAUGUAUCCACCACUCACUAUGCUCCACAUUGUAGUGAAUAGAGAUUGAUCAAGUGAUCAUAUACUACUACUAUAUGCUAUCCGCAUUAUCUGCAGCAACAAAUAAAUGUGGAAGCUGACACUAGUGCAAAGUGCAAACAUAGAGAAUAUUAGCAACAGUGUUUGUGUUUCCAUUAUCGCCAAAUAUAUUGGUUACUGUAUUAUUAUCAUUUUAAAGCAUAAAAAACAGUCUCAUACAAUAGCUAGCUAGUGGUGUAUAUUCUGUAAUAUCUUGCUAUCGUAACAAUCUAUUAAUAAAUCUUUAAAUAUUUAUAUAUAGUAUGUUUGUGUUAGACUUUAUAAGACCUCAAUCUGGUGUUGGAGAGAAGCUAACAAAUUGCAUUAGUAGUUGAGGACGUUAUUGCUUAUUAUCCUCAUUAUCCCUAAGAACAUGGAUUUCAUCCUGAUGAUAGUUGCAUUUAGAUAAGUUAUAUAUGGUAGUUCUUUUGUAACUUAAUAGUCAGCACAGUUUUACUCCUAAAAUUGGGGUUUCUAUAGCUAAAUAAAUU
rnacentral:lncRNA from 1 species